GACGAACGCUGGCGGCGUGCCUAAUACAUGCAAGUCGAGCGAAGUUUUUCUGGUGCUUGCACUACAAAAACUUAGCGGAGAACGGGUGAGUAACACGUAAAGAACCUGCCUCAUAGACUGGGACAACUAUUGGAAACGAUAGCUAAUACCGGAUAACAGCAUUAGCUGCAUGGUUGAUGUUUAAAAGUUGGUUUUGCUAACACUAUGACAUGGCUUUGCGGUGAAUUAGCUAGUUGGUGGGGAAAAGGCCUACCAAGGCGACGAUGCAUAGCCAACCUGAGAGGGUGAUCGGCCACACUGAGACUGACACACCGCCCAGACUCCUAGGGGAGGCCACAGUAGGGAAUCUUCCGCAAUGGGCGGAAGCCUGACAGAUCUACGCCGCGUGAGUGAAAAAGGAUUUCGGGUCUUAAAGCUCUGUUGCUAGGGAAGAAUGAUUGUGUAGCAUCUAUACACAGUAGAGACGGCACCUCACCAGAUAGCCUCAGUUUACUACGUGCCAGCAGCACGCGGUAAUACGUAGGUGGCAAGCGUGUCCCGGAAUAUUGGGCGUAAAGCGCGCGCAGGUGGUUAAUAAGUCUGAUGUGAAAGCCCACGGCUCAACCGUGGAGGGUCAUUGGAAACUGUUAAACUGNAGUGCAGGAGAGAAAAGUGGAAUUCCUAGUGUAGCGGUGAAAUGCGUAGAGAUUAGGAGGAACACCAGUGGCGAAGGCGGCUUUUUGGCCUGUAACUGACACUGAGGCGCGAAAGCGUGGGGAGCAAACAGGAUUAGAUACCCUGGUAGUCCACGCCGUAAACGAUGAGUGCUAAGUGUUGGUCUCAUAAGAGAUCAGUGCUGCAGCUAACGCAUUAAGCACUCCGCCUGGGGAGUACGACCGCAAGGUUGAAACUCAAAGGAAUUGACGGGGACCCGCACAAGCGGUGGAGCAUGUGGUUUAAUUCGAAGCAACGCGAAGAACCUUACCAAGUCUUGACAUACUGUGAAGACACAAGAGAUUGUGUUGUUCUAACCUUUGGUUAGACACAGAUACAGGUGGUGCAUGGUUGUCGUCAGCUCGUGUCGUGAGAUGUUGGGUUAAGUCCCGCAACGAGCGCAACCCUUAUAUCUAGUUGCCAGCAGUAAGAUGGGGACUCUAGAUAGACUGCCAGUGAUAAACUGGAGGAAGGUGAGGAUGACGUCAAAUCAUCAUGCCCCUUAUGACUUGGGCUACACACGUGCUACAAUGGAUAGGAACAAAGAGAAGCGAGCUCGCGAGAGUAAGCAAACCUCACAAAACUAUUCUCAGUUCGGAUUGUAGUCUGCAACUCGACUACAUGAAGCUGGAAUCGCUAGUAAUCGCGAAUCAGAAUGUCGCGGUGAAUACGUUCCCGGGUCU
rnacentral:rRNA from 1 species